rnacentral:rRNA from 1 species
UACGUAGGUGACCAGCGUUGUCCGGAUUUACUGGGCGUAAAGAGCGCGCGGGCGGUCGUUCAAGUCGAGUGUGAAAGCCCCCGGCUCAACUGGGGAGGGUCAUUCGAUACUGAUCGACUUGAAGGCAGGAGAGGGAAGUGGAAUUCCCGGUGUAGUGGUGAAAUGCGUAGAUAUCGGGAGGAACACCAGUGGCGAAGGCGACUUCCUGGCCUGUUCUUGACGCUGAGGCGCGAAAGCUAGGGGAGCAAACGGG